rnacentral:lncRNA from 1 species
UUGUCAUGUAGCUUUAUGGUCUUUUAUAAUUGCACACAGUUGUGUAACCAUCACAAUCAGAAUGUAUAAAUAUUCCAUCACCCCAAAACAUUCCAUCAUAUUGUCCCUUUGGUAUCAAACCCUCCCCAUGCUUCCAAUCCAUGGGACUCACUAGUAUGUUCUCGAUACCCUACGCUUUUGCUUAUCCCAGGAUAUCGUUUGAGUGGAAUCAGCAGAAUAUAGAAUAAAAGUUUCAGCUGGGGCCAAGAAAGGAGUGAUUUCUAGAUGGUGGCAAGAUUGGACAAGAUAUGCAGAUAGCCAGAAUACAGGGCUACUAAACUGGGGUUUGGAUUCCAACUGGUGCACCGCAAGAUAAGGAUGUUUCCCAUCCUUGGACAGCCAGGUUAGACCAGAGAUGGGCCAAGCUCUUCAGCAAGUCCACUUGCAGCACAGAAGAUCCUCAACUAUCUUCCAAAUGCUAUUAAGUUGACCCCAGUUUGUGGUAUAAAUAUUUUUAUUUUCUGAGUGACAUCAUGUGAAAAAUGUUGGGAAACUCUUUAGACACAAAGCAUUAGAUAAUCUAAAAUCAAGCAUUUCUACUUCGGAUAGCCCAAGCCAGAGUGAAUGUAUCUAUAUUUGUUAGGGCAGCUUAAAUUCCCAGCUUUCCCCUUGUUCAGCCCAUGCUCCCUGCCCAAAAGUGGAGAAAUGCUACCACUCGAUUCAACCAGACAUUCCCCAAUAGGAGAAAUAUGCAUUUGCAUAUCUCUGCCUUUUCCCAGUAUUUCCACAGGCAGGCAAGAAAGGACUGCCACACAGAAUCCUGUGAAUUCCUAUGUUCCAUACCAUAUUCAUGGAAUUACAUUUGAUAAAUGAGUAACAAUGAAAUGCUAUUGCUUCUUAUAUUUGAGAUUUGAUCUAAAAGAAAACACAGAGAGAAAUCUGAGUUUUUUGAAGGCAGAAUGUUUUAUAAGGGGAAAUACAUAUAUAACAAUUAAAUACAUAUUUGGCAAUUAAAUAUUUGGCAAUUAAGAUAAGUACAAACAGUUGGGAUUUUUAAACAUCAGCUCUUUGAAGGAAUAGAAUGCCUUAGAAUGUUCACCCUAGUACAUACCCUGGCAAAUGAACUUAACGGCAACUAUUUAAGAAUGAGCAUCAGGCCUAUGCCGAGUAGAAAGCAUGACAUUCUAGGAUUACGAUGAUAAUUCUACUUUUACAAAACUGAACCAUACGGCAUUGUUAGCCCUAAGUGGC